UACAGAGGUCUCAAGCGUUGUUCGGAUUCAUUGGGCGUAAAGGGUGCGUAGGCGGCGCGGUAAGUCGGGUGUGAAAUCUUGGAGCUUAACUCCGAAACUGCAUUCGAUACUGCCGUGCUUGAGGACUGGAGAGGAGACUGGAAUUUACGGUGUAGCGGUGAAAUGCGUAGAUAUCGUAAGGAACACCAGUGGCGAAGGCGAUUCUCUGGACAUUUCCUGACGCUGAGGCACGAAUUCCAGGGUAUCAAACUUC
rnacentral:rRNA from 1 species